rnacentral:sRNA from 1 species
GAGACCAAGAACUGGCACACGGACGUGAUUGAGAUGAACGGGGUGAGCCGGGGAUGGGAAUGAUCAGUGGGGUGAGCCGGGAGGUGGAACGUCUGUGCAGCAGAUCAAAGUGGAAUUUUCCAUGAAAUUCACCAGCCGAGAUAUGAGCCUGAAGAGGACCCCGUCCAAAAAGCAGACCGGCGUCUUCGGUGUGAAGAUCAGCGUGGUGACUAAGCGGGAGCGCUCCAAGGUGCCCUACAUCGUCCGGCAGUGCGUGGAGGAGGUGGAGAAGAGGGGUAUCGAGGAGGUUGGCAUCUACAGGAUAUCGGGCGUGGCCACGGACAUCCAGGCGCUCAAGGCCGUCUUCGAUGCCAAUAACAAGGACAUCCUGCUGAUGCUGAGUGACAUGGACAUCAACGCCAUCGCCGGGACGCUCAAGCUCUACUUCCGGGAACUGCCCGAGCCGCUCCUCACGGACCGACUCUACCCAGCCUUCAUGGAGGGCAUCGCCCUGUCAGACCCUGCUGCCAAGGAAAACUGCAUGAUGCACCUGCUCCGCUCCCUGCCCGACCCCAACC